AUCUGUAUCUAGAUGUCGCGGCAAACUGAGCCAGGGUCCCUGGAGCCCCAGAGAGGCAGAGCUGCCAAGGAGGCGUUCGUAAUUAGGAUCCAGGCAGAUGGGAGUCGCGGCAGCCUUGCAGCAAAGCCCUGCGUUAAUGAUCUGGAAGGGCAUUCGACUAAAGGUUACUCCCAAGGCUUGAACCUAGACUGGAGAUCUCUGGCUUCCCCUGAGGACUCUCUCCUGGUUGGAAUUUUCACACAGGCUUGACUCCUUCUGCCUGCAGCUGCCUAAGAGCCCAGGAUAACAAAUGCUGACGGGUCUUCAUACAGUCUUCCUGAAGAAGCAGAAAUCUGGCCAGAUGAACAGACCACUGCAUCCACUGAG